UCGCCCUCGGCACCGGCCACCGCCCGCCGGAUGUCCGGCCCCGCCCGGCGAGGCGGCGCUCCCGCGCCGCCUCGCCCUCCGCCGGCCAACCCACCUCCACCACCGGGCCACCGCCGCCCCUGGCCCCCUCCUCUAGGUCCGGUGGACCUUGGAUCCCCGGUAACCCAAAACCUCGCCACCAUCCCGGCCGCCGGCGAGGUCGCCGGCGGCCGCUCCCCCCACCAACCGCUCCUCCUCGGCGGCUGCUCCUCCCCUUCAUCCUCCCGUACCUCGCCGGCGGCGCGGUCGAGAGGAGGAAGAAGAACAGUCCCCGCCCUGUGCGACGCAAUGCGUCGGCGUCGCAUAUGGGGCGAAUAGAUUUCACCCCCUCCCCCUCCCGCUCCUCCCUCAUCCUCAGAACCGCACUCUCGCUCCCCACCGAAGCCUACUUAGAUCCGCUGCAGUAGUCGAGAGGCGAGUGAGCGGCGGCCCUACAGGCGGGCGGUGGCUUCGGGCCCCGGUCCGUGCGCGCCGCGCCAGGGCUACGCGUUGGGCGGUGGCUCGGCACCGGCGCGUAGCUCUCCUCCCCAAGGCAUUGGUGGAUGGGUAGGCAGCGGCCUGCGGGCGCAGCUCACCGCCGGCGCGCUGCUCCCCUCCGCGAGGGGCAAGCGGAAGGGCAGGCAGCGGCCUGUGGGCGCAGCUCGGUGCAGGCGCCUGGCUCCGCCUCCGCUAGGCGCGGGCGGAAGGGCAAGCAGCGGCUGCGGGCGCAUCUCAGCAAGCGGCAGUUUCCUUCCCUCCCACCUCAGACUUGAAUGCGGCGUGCGGCUGGCGGUGGCUGGUGGCCGGGUAUGGCGUGUCCAGGAUCGACUACGAGGACCACGACAAAUCCAAGGGUGCCUGCUGCUGCAUCCGUAGCUUGUGCUGCCUCAUCGAUGACUGCCACACUUCUUCAAGUCCAUCUGCGAGCAUGAAGAGUACAGUAGCAUGAGCUGGUUCCUGAACUUUUGUCUUCCAAGUUGUUGUAGCUGUCAAGGACAAUAGAGGACUGAAAAUGGUUCAUGAUCACGUCAAUCGUAUUGAGCAAACACAAGUCGAUUGUAUGUCAUUUAUGAUGUGUGUGUUUUUCACUUUCUAUGAAAAGAAAUAUAGAGAUCUGGUUUUGCUAGAAAUUUUGAGAAAUGAUUGUUGCUUACAUGGAUUGUACAGAUAUAUAAGCCUAUUUGAUUGAAAUUAGCUAUAUGUGCAAUAUCUGAUUGUAAUUCAAUUUCAAAUGUCAGUUGUAAAUUAAUUUGUGUAUUGGAUUUCUUUUUUUUAAAAAAAAAUCAGUUAGGUUU